ACUCCUACGGGAGGCAGCAGUGGGGAAUAUUGCACAAUGGGGGAAACCCUGAUGCAGCCAUGCCGCGUGUGUGAAGAAGGCCUUGGGUUGUAAAGCACUUUCAGUAGGGAGGAAGGUAGUGUAGUUAACACCUGCAUUAUUUGACGUUACCUACAGAAGAAGCACCGGCUAACUCCGUGCCAGCAGCCGCGGUAAUACGGAGGGUGCGAGCGUUAAUCGGAAUUACUGGGCGUAAAGCGCAUGCAGGCGGCCUGUUAAGUCAGAUGUGAAAGCCCGGGGCUUAACCUCGGAAUUGCAUUUGAAACUGGCAGGCUAGAGUCUUGUAGAGGGGUUAGAAUUUCAGGUGUAGCGGUGAAAUGCGUAGAGAUCUGAAGGAAUACCGAGUGGCGAA
rnacentral:rRNA from 1 species